UCAAUAGUGAAAGACGGUUUUGCUGUCACUUAUAGAUGGAUCCGCGCCGCAUUAGCUAGUUGGUAAGGUAACGGCUUACCAAGGCAACGAUGCGUAGCCGACCUGAGAGGGUGAUCGGCCACACUGGAACUGAGACACGGUCCAGACUCCUACGGGAGGCAGCAGUAGGGAAUCUUCCGCAAUGGGCGAAAGCCUGACGGAGCAACGCCGCGUGAGUGAUGAAGGUCUUCGGAUCGUAAAACUCUGUUAUUAGGGAAGAACAAAUGUGUAAGUAACUAUGCACGUCU
rnacentral:rRNA from 1 species